GUGUACCCACUUCUCCAUCCAUCGCACGAAACAGAGUGAGAAGGAAACAAUCUCUCUAUCUCUUGUUCUCUUUCCUUCUUACUUUUCAUCUUUGCCUCUUGUCACACGAAUGCAGCUCCGCAGAACACUAUACGAAGCACCUCGAACCAGUGUAGAACGGUUUGCAACAAAGUAGUCGUUUUCGCGUUUACCUCCUCGUGGGGAAUUAGGAAUUGAAUAAAAUUCACGCAGUGAUGAAGUACUCGCCGCAACAGCAGCAGCAGCAGCAGCAAAAGGAAAGGAAGUCGGAGAGCGACGUUUGCUCGAUCGACGCGACACCGAAUCGCGGCGGAGGAGGGAGGCGUCAGUCGACAUCGACAGAGUGUAAAAAUUUCACGAGCACGUCGUCGAGGAACGCUAUCUGUCGUUCGCCAUCGACGGGGAUGUUCGCCUGGAUGCGCGUGUUCCGGCUUGCCUCGAUGCUUCAUCAGGUUGGCUGCUAGAUUCGAGUGUUACACGGAGCGCCUCGUGUCCGCAAAACUCAUAGAUGUAUUUAACGAUUUAAAAAUUGAAAGGGAUCGUGUACACGUGUGUACGUAUGCGCGCGUCCCCGCGUUCAAUCCGCGCCUGCACUUAUGCAAUCCGGUCCAUCUGUCGUUUAUCCACGCACGCAUGGUCACACGUGUACAGGUGCAUUCGACGACCCUUUUCCCUCGGUCGUGAUUUACCUUGUAUCCAUAGGGUGGUCGGUUUGUAACGUAGGGACGGCCGACGGUAGCUCAACUAUAGUGCGUUACGCGAUAAAAAGAAGCAACGGGCGUCGUACUGGCUACGUAUCGCCUACUUAUACGUAGAGACGAAGUUACACACACAUAUAUAUAUACAUAUAUACGCGCGCAUACCGGUAUAAACGUUUCUGUAGGUGCGCGUAUACACGCGUGUGCAUCGUUGCGCAUGCGUAUAGAGCACAGUCCCGGGUUCCAGUUAAUCAAUUGGUCGUUCAAGAGGCAUUAAUUAGCGCGUAAGCUUCGAAAUCGGAAGUAAUUCGUCGCGACACGUCGCUCACCAUCUCAUUCCAAGCCCUAUCCUCUCUCGACGUUCUGUUGUUUCUUUCUCUUUCCUUCAUUUGUCCACUUGUCACGUAUUUGGAGACGGGUCACAUGUGCACGCGUGUACCAUUACCUGCCAUAGUAAAUACGGUUUUUUAGCUUGUACGUGAAUAGCGAUAAGAAUAUAACGUGGUGCUACACUGUAUUCCAGUUCUAUUCCGUUGUUUUAUUUUAUUCUUCCUUUUCUUUUUCUUUCUUUCUUUUUUUACUUACCUUUUCGCUCUCUCUCUUUCUCUCUCUCCCCUCUUUCUUCAAUAUCGAUUCGUUUUCCGGAUGACGACAAUCUAACAAACGUUUAUAAUAUUUUUGUACGAAUAAUCGAUCUUGAUUUUUUAUUGAUUUUUUAUUGACAAAUUUAUAACAUAUCGCAUCGUGUCGAUAUAAAAAUGUACAUUUCGAAAUUAAUUCGUCUCGACUUCUCUCUUCGCAUAUAUUCCCCCCUUUUAAAAUCUUACUUAUCGCGCGCGCGCUUCAGGUAUCUCUAAUCGAAUCACGAAUUUACAUCCGAUUUCACACCCCCCCCUCCCUCCCUCCCUCCCUCCCUCCCCCAUUUUAUUAUCACGCGAUCGUUAAGAAAAAUCUUCGAUCAAUGUUACUAUAAUAUAUCGAUCGAUAUAUUUUACGACAAUGCAACUCGACAAAUAAAUUUCAAUAUUCAAUUUUAAUUCGCGCGAUUCACCGUUUCUCUUUUCCCUUUAAUGCGCCAAAUCGUACGAGCAUCCCAGAGAAAAAGAUCUCCUCCGUUACUGUGAAACUGUGGUGUGGAACUGCGAAACCAGAAUUUUUAGAAGUACGUUUAUCUUUGAAUAAUAAAAAAUUCGUUGUUCUGUCAAAACGACAGUGUCUAUUGAUUCAUAUAUACAUUGAAUAUAUAUAUAUAUAUAUAUA